GAUGAACGCUGGCGGCGUGCUUAACACAUGCAAGUCGAACGAAGCACCUUAUUUGAUUUCCUUCGGGACGGAUUAUUUGGUGACUGAGUGGCGGACGGGUGAGUACCGCGGGGGUAACCUGCCUUGUAAAGGGGGAUAACACUGGGAAACGGCUGCUAAUACAGCAUAAGCGCUCAGCAUCCCAUGAUGCAGUGUGAAAAACUCCGGUGGUAUAAGAUGAACCCGCGUUGCAUUAGCUAGUUGGUGAGGUAACGGCCCACCAAGGCGACGAUGCAUAGCCGGCCUGAGAGGGUGACCGGCCACAUUGGGACUGAGACACGGCCCAAACUCCUACGGGAGGCAGCAGUGGGGAAUAUUGCACAAUGGACGAAAGUCUGAUGCAGCGACGCCGCGUGAGCGAAGAAGUAUUUCGAUAUGUAAAGCUCUAUUAGAAGGGAAGAUAAUGACGGUACCUGAAUAAGAAGCACCGGCUAACUACGUG
rnacentral:rRNA from 1 species